rnacentral:sRNA from 1 species
AGAUGUGGAGCAAUGUGGCUAUGACAUCUGUCACUCUGCUCAUCACCAGGGUGGACUCCAGGGGAUCUGGCUGGCUAGGUGCAUGUCCCCUCCCUCCCUCAUACCCCCUGUGUGUCCCUCCCAAAGCUGCAAGCUGUUACUAAUUUCCACAGAACUAUCCAGAAACAUUGUUUACCUAAGACAGCUGUCCUCUAAAGGUAAACAAGAGGAGUCAGCAAAGCGUAUCCGGAAGACAGCGGCUGAAGCUUGUUUU